UACGUAGGGGGCGAGCGUUGUCCGGAAUUAUUGGGCGUAAAGAGCGUGUAGGCGGUUCGGUAAGUCUGCCGUGAAAACCUGGGGCUCAACCCCGGGCGUGCGGUGGAUACUGCCGGGCUAGAGGGUGGUAGAGGCGAGUGGAAUUCCCGGUGUAGCGGUGAAAUGCGCAGAUAUCAGGAAGAACACCUAUGGCGAAGGCAGCUCUCUGGGACGGUACUGACGCUGAGACGCGAAAGCGUGGGGAGCGAACAGG
rnacentral:rRNA from 1 species